GCGAGUCUGAAUAGGGCGCUUUAGUUGGUAGUGGUAGACGCGAAACCGUGUGAUCUACCCUUGGGCAGGUUGAAGCUGUGGUAACACAUAGUGGAGGACCGAACCCGUUGACGUUGAAAAGUCUUGGGAUGACCUGAGGGUAGGGGUGAAAGGCCAAUCAAACUCGGAAAUAGCUCGUACUCCCCGAAAUGCAUUUAGGUGCAGCGUUGUGGUAAAGUUUUAUAGAGGUAGAGCUACUGAUUGGAUGCGGGGGCUUCACCGCCUACCAAUUCCUGACAAACUCCGAAUGCUAUAAAAUGAUUCAUAUCAGUGAGGGCAUGGGUGCUAAGGUCCAUGUCCGAGAGGGAAAGAACCCAGACCAUCAGCUAAGGUCCCCAAAUAUAUGUUAAGUUGAA
rnacentral:rRNA from 1 species